rnacentral:lncRNA from 1 species
AUUUUGUUACAUCUUGUGAUCAAUUUUAUUUGGCAAUCGCCAAUGGCAGUCAGCAGGGUUAAAGAACAUCAGUUGUUCGACGUGUUAGUCAAAUGCGUUUUGUUUAAAUACUUUUUCACUUUUUUGGUCUUUUGGAAAAUGUUGUUUGUGCUGUUUUUAGACCCUUCUUCAACGAAAUUUGUUUUACAUGCACACGUAUAAAAAUUGCGGUUUUUAUCCAAC